GUGGGGAAUCUUAGACAAUGGGGGAAACCCUGAUCUAGCCAUGCCGCGUGAGCGAUGAAGGCCUUAGGGUUGUAAAGCUCUUUCAGAGGGGAAGAUAAUGACGGUACCCUCAGAAGAAGCCCCGGCUAACUCCGUGCCAGCAGCCGCGGUAAUACGGAGGGGGCUAGCGUUGUUCGGAAUUAAUGGGCGUAAAGCGCACGUAGGCGGACCAGAAAGUCAGGGGUGAAAACCCGGGGCUCAACCCCGGAACUGCCUUUGAAACUACUGGUCUUGAGGUCGAGAGAGGUGAGUGGAAUUCCGAGUGUAGAGGUGAAAUUCGUAGAUAUUCGGAGGAACACCAGUGGCGAAGGCGGCUCACUGGCUCGAUACUGACGCUGAGGUGCGAAAGCGUGGGGAGCAAACAGGAUUAGAUACCCCAGUAGUCC
rnacentral:rRNA from 1 species